UAAUAUGAAAAGAACAAUGCUACAACAAGAAAACCAACAACUAAUAUUACUAUUACUAUGAUGACGAAUGCGUGUCAGCGCGCAUGCGCAAUGUGUGUAUAAUUUCGGAUAAGUGUACAUAUUGUCCUCAUGGUGUUAAACCAUUUUCUGGCGAUGGUCACAUCAAGGACUUAUUGUGAAAACGAAAAUCUUCAAUUUAAGAAUAAUUAAAUGUCAAAUAGAAAAUUGUACAAACAUCUUAUUUGUAGUAAAGCAGUAAACUAAGCAAUUUGAAAAAAAUAGUUUUGUUUAUAUGUAUUGUAGAGCAGAGAAGUGUUUGAUAAGUUUUCCUGUUAGGCUUAAUUCGAACUAAUUUGGAAAUACGAAAGAAAUGGCUCGCGGGUGUUCAAGAUUGCUUUUGUAUUCCAAGCCGCUAGCAGCUUCCUAUAGUUUGCUUCUUUCUGAUUUACAUAAAAAGGGCAGAACGAGGAAUUUGUAUUCUGGAAGAUCGAGCGAGUGAGUGUCAGUCGGUCCGUCCGUCAGUCAGUCCAGUCACAAAGUCAGCUGACAGAAGAGAAGGAGGAGAAGAUGACAUACGCUUCCAUUCUAUCUGCAAGAUCCUCCUUCACUAAAGACCCAAGCUCAGACAUGUUGCCAAUCUGGUCCGCUUCAGCUGACGUUGAAGAAAGAUUUACGAUUUUUUUCCAGAAAACAGCAAGCUCGGCUUUAUCACCAGCCUACGCUGACACUAGGAAGCAAAACAUACAGGUACCAUAGAGAGUGAUGUCCAGUUAACUGCCACGUCUAUCCAUGUGCUCCCCCUACAACCACAGGUGACAGUCAAGGGACAACUGACUGUAAAAGCCCGAGGCCUAGCCAGCGCAAGAACCUCCUCCUUUAACGAGAAGGAGCCUUUAAAAUCGAUGGCAAGCAGAGUACCUACAUAUACACGAGGCACCGGCGAGGAGGUGAGAACCGUUGCUGCAUCUACAGACUGCGGGUGGCUGGGAGUCGGCAUGCAUCAGCCGUCAGGACACCAGUGUGACAGGCAGGAUCGACUCCCCUCCCACUAAGGUGUCAGAACCCACCUGUGCCAAGCGCAUCACCACGCGAAACAUCGUCUGCAGCCAUCACAAGUGAAAUCUUUACCAGACCAGGUAAGUUGCGAUCUGUGAGAUAUGAACUGUUGCAACUUGGAGAUCAACUCCACUUCCGGCUCGCUUUCAUCGCAUUUCAAGGUGUUUCUGUCUGGAGAUGAAUAUACAGGACUUGGUGUAUAUCUUCUUCUAACAGGAAUGUUUGGGUUUUUUGGAAACAUAGUGGCUCUGGUGAUGUUUGUGAGAGACAAUCAGUUUCGGUCCACGGUGGACAUGCUGCUGGUCAACCUGGCUUUCGCCGACAUCGGCAUGUGUGGACUUUGUUUUCCAUUCGUGUCGGCUUCAAACUUUGCACAGCGCUGGCUUUUCGGAGAGAGUGGUUGUACCGCCUACGGUUUUGCCGGAUUUUUGUUUGGCAACACCACCAUCUUCACCUUGAGUGCUAUCAGUGUGCAACGGUACCUGGUCGUCUGCAAGCGCUGGCCAAAUGUACGGAAUAUCAAUACUCUAGUAACCGUCGUCAUGACAACAUGGUUCCAAGCGCUACUUUGGAGCUCACUUCCACUUCUUCUGCCUAAACCUUAUGACCUGGAACCUUUUGGGACGUCCUGCACUGUUUCUUGGGCGAGCGACCAUCACGGGACGAAGAUCUUUGUCAGAUCGCUCGUCGCCUGGGUAACCCUGCACUUCCUGGUGAUGGCGUUCUGUUACACACACAUCUAUGUCUGCAGUCGCCGCGCCCUGACCAAAGUCUCCUCCAGAAGCUACCAGGACCUGCUGGUCUCCAAGAUUUGCUUCAUUCUGGUGACAGCUUUCGCGAUCUGCUGGUCGCCAUACAUGAUACUGUCCAGUCUCUCCUUGUCCUCCCUCAGCGAGGCAUGGCCUCUUCUGUCAGCCCUUCCGGUUAUGAUGGCAAAGUUAUCGUCGUGCGUGAAUCCAGUCCUCUACAUUCUCGUCAGCAGACGUUUCCGCCAACGUUACCUGGAGACGAUCACCUGUCGCCGUCGAACGGACAGCAAAGACCUCGGGGUUCCCAGCAUUCACGUGAACGUCACUUCCGGCAGUAACGUUACCGUGAUACCUUGACGUUAAUUGAGAUGCACUGGGAGAUAUGACAUGACAUGACAUGACAUCUUUAAUGCCAAUGACUCAUGGUCACCAUGACACUGGGAGAGAAGAUCAGUUGGCUCUUGAAACUGCGCAUGACAGUCCACGGAAUAUGACGUUCCCGAACACAACCCUCUACCUACCGAAGUGGUCCUGUGUGAUAAAAUGCUGCGAAUUCGUUGAAAUUUGAAACGUCGGCUUCAGGAAUACGUGAGUGCACCGCUGACAGGAAUUUAUAGCUGUCAUCCCACCUAAGAAGAGGCCGCAGGUCUAGUGUAUAAUGGGUUUCCCAAAUUCUUAGGUCUGCAGUAAAAUACGAGGACUAGAUAUAUAAAAUACCUAGACCAGAGAAUUUGUGUGAAGUAAAAUUCACGAAAACAACGAAUCUGCAAAAAUUUGGAAAAUUCUGACGGAAGGGUGAAGCGACGCAGAAUUUCAUCAAAGAUUUUAUUUUACCAGGAAACAGUUUGCACAACUUAACUGAUAAAAUAUAUUACCUUUGUUAUCCUGCAGAAAUGAAAUCAGCCCUCGGUGUUGUGGGAUUUUACUCACUUUAUACUGUACUAAAUGUUUACACAAAGGGCCGGUGUUUCACACUGGCUGUUGGAAAACUGAUGCUACUUACUUUGGGUCCACUGAUAUAUAAAUCAGUGUUUGGGUUUGGGUAAUUAAAUUCCAGUAGAUUCUGAAUCAUAAAUAACCAACUAAUAGUUGUUUAAUAUUGCUGGAUUUCCACAGUUCCCUGCCUCUGAUGGCCCAUGUUUUAAUUUCUGAAAUACUACUUCGAACGUGUCUUAUUAGCUGUGAGACAAUCAAACCACAGGAAACAGUUGUACAGUUAUGGAAAUUGGUGAGAGUUAAGAAAUGUAUGUGUGCCAUAAA
rnacentral:misc_RNA from 1 species